CAAGCUGUCAAGUGGUCCUGCAGCCCUUUGACCUUUGUCCUAACUUUCUUUCAGAUGCAGAUGGAUAAAAUCCAUGGCAGAGCAGCCCAUCGCAGGAAGUAAAGCCAUAUAGCAACAGUCAAGUUGAAGUGGUCAAGGCAAUCUACUCAGGUUAUGGCAAGCCCCUGUCACCAACCAGCCAAUCGACCAGGUUUCCUGCUCUCACGAGCCCUGUGGAGGUAUUGCAGGACCCUGUGAUGAAGCCUUGAAAUUUUCUAUUUAAAAGUCGCUUCUGGGUAGCCCUCAGGAAUGGCCGCAGAGUCAUGGUGAGUCGGGGAGGUAUCGAGGAGAAGCCGGGGUCCACUCAAUUCUCAGCUGUGCUACAUCACCUCGUCUCCUCUUUACCCAGGCGUACCCUGCGAUGACUGCAUCGGUCUCAGAGCACGGCCGAAGCGUGCGGCCCGAGGACCCGGUCACUCUUAGGAGGCGACUAGGAGACAGCAGCCUGGUGACAGCAGGAACCUCCCAGACAGCCUGGUGGUCUUCCUUUGCACCUGAUGUGGAUUCUCAUUCCUGGAGAGCCAAGAGAUAAGUUGAGGGCUGUGACUUACAGAGGGGAUGGAAGGGGGCUGCUGUGUCGGGACUCACCAGGUGGGAUUUUUGAGUCAGCUUUGGAGCUGAGGAUAUCCAGGAAAUGUUGUCUUGAGCCCACACAAAAGCAAAGUGUCGCUUUUGAUCCCAGUGCUGAGGUGCGCAGGGCAGAGCAGUCCCGGCGUGUGUUGUGUCACGUGGCUAUCGUGCAUUAUGUGUUGUUUAAUGUCUUUUCCCUUAGCCCUUUGAGGGGCCUAACAGAAACCCUGGCAUCAUUCUUAGCAUCUGUGAUCUCUGCAUUUCUUGGCCUGGCACCAAUGCCACAGGACUUUUGACUCAGGAGCUCAGACGGGCAUCAGAAUUGCAUUUCUCUUUAGGAGCAUCCAGUCAGAUGUCUUUGCAGGUCUUGUUCUGAGCUGUAUGUACCUUGCAAGGAUCCAUUAUGGCAGAUUAGGGCUUGUAAGAAUGCAAGGAUAGGUAGAGGAUGCUGACUGUAGGAGUCUCAGACAUCCAUCUUUGUAGAUCUUGGAAUAAACUGUUCUCUUAUCAGAUUCUUCCUCCAGGGUUCUGGGAGCCUCAUCAGCUCGCCAUCAGUCUCAUCUCGGUCAUCUAAUCUUCCGUUCUCUCAGUCCUUGCAGUCAUUCUUCUUGCCAAGAGAUUCCUGUCCCUGUUGUGUCCCCCUUGUUUGUCAUGUCGUGUCCUGUGUCACGGGUGUCUGCACAUAUUUGUGCCGGAGCUGCUCUGCCCUGCUGCAUAGCCUGGUGUAAUAGGACAAAUCCUGGGGGCUUGAAAUGUGUAGUGUGGGCUGUAGUUGGACUCUAGAUGAUAUUCCUAGGCUGACCCAGAUGUCUGGAGCUGUGAAGUUGUCCUGCAGCCCUUUGACAUUUUUCCUGACUUUCUUUCAGAUGCAGAUGGAUAAAAUCCAUGGCAGAGCGCCCCAUCCCAGGAAGUAAAGUGAUAGAGCAACAGUCAAGUUGAAGUGGUCAAGGCAAUCUACUCAGGUUAUGCCAAGCCCCUGUCACCAACCAGCCGAUUGACCAGGUUUGCUGCUCUCAUGAGCCCUGUGGAGGUAUUGCAGGACCCUGUGAUGAAGCCUUGAAAUUUUCUAUUUAAAGGUUGCUUCUGGGUAGCCCUCAGGAAUGGGCAACGAGCCAUGGUGAGUUGGGGGGUAUCGAGGAGGAGCUGGGGUCCGCUCAGUUCUCAGCUAUCCUACAUCACCUCAUCUCCUCUUUACCCAGGCGUACCCUGUGACGACGGCGUCGGUCUCGGAGCACGGCCGAAGCGUGCGGGCCAAGGACCCGGUCAUUCUUAGGAGGCGUUGAGUAGCAGAAUUUUCGGGUUUUGGUCGAUAUGCUGCUAAGAUGAUGCACUGAUGUCUGGUUUCCUUUAUCUUGACAGACUAGGAGACAGCAGCCCGGUGACAGCAGGAACCUCCCAGACAGCCUGGUGGCCUUGCUUUGCACCUGAUGUGGAUUCUCAUUCCUGGAGAGCCAAGAGAUAAGUUGAGGGCUGUGACUUACAGAGGGGAUGGAAGGGGGUUGCUGUGUCAGGACUCACCAGGUGGGAUUUUUGAGUCAGCUUUGGAGCUGAGGAUAUCCAGGAAAUGUUGUCUUGAGCCCACACAAAAGCGAAGUGUCACUUUUGAUCCCAGUGCUGAGCUGAGCAGAGGAGGGCAGUCCCGGUGUGUUUUGUCAUGUGGCUAUUGUGCAUUGUGUUGUGUGGCUGUCUCAUGUCUUUUCCCUUAGCCCUUUGAGGGGCCUAUCAGAAACCCUGGCAUCAUUCUUAGCAUCUAUGAUCUCUGCAUUUCUUGGCCUGGCACCAAUGCCACAGGACUUUUGACACAGGAGCUUGGACAGGCAUUGGAAUUGAAUUUCUCUUUAGGAGCAUCCAGUCAGAUGUCUUUGCAGGUCUUGUUCUGAGCUGUACGUACUGCUGUGCAUCGCAAGGAUCCAUUAUGGCAGAUUGGGGCUCGUAAGAACGUGAGGAUAGGUAGAGGAUUCUGCCCAUAGGAUUCUCGGACAUCCAUCUUUGUAGUUCUUGGAAUAAACUGUUCUCUUAUCAGAUUCUUCCUCCAGGGUUCUCUGAGCCUCAUUGGUCUCACCUCGGUCAUCUAAUCUUGCGUUCUCUCAGUCCUUGCAGUCAUUUUUGCCAAGAGAUUCCUGUCCUUGUUGUGUCCCCCUUGUUUGUCAUGUCGUGUCCUGUGUCACGGGUGUCUGCACAUAUUUGUGCCGGAGCUGCUCUGCCCUGCUGCAUAGCCUGGUGUAAUAGGACAAAUCCUGGGGGCUUGAAAUUUGUAGUGUGGGGUGUUGUUGGAUUAUAGAUGGGAUUUGUAGAUGGACCCAAGAUGUCUGGAGCUGUGAAGUUAUCCUGCAGCCCUUUGACGUUUGUCCUCACUUUCUUUUAGAUGCAGGUGGAUAAAAUCCCUGGCAGAGCACCCCAUCCCAGCAUUGUUCUUUGUUUUUAUUUUUAGGAAGUAAAGCCACAUAUCAGAAGUCAAGGCGAGGUGGUCAAGGCAAUCCAUUUGGAGUAUGCAUGACUCCCCAUCACACACUGGACGAUGGACUGUGAUCAUUGCUCUUGUGAGCCCUGUGGAAGUAUUACAGGACUUGGUAAUGAAGCCUCUGCCUUUCCUAUUUAAAUGUGUCACCCGGGUAGCCUUUGGCCGCGGCUGAGGAGUUGCAGCGGACCCUGCGAUGACGGCGUCAGCCUCCGAGCGCAGCUGAAGGGUGCAGCAUUCAUAAGAGACCCAGGCAUUGCUAGGAGAACGGUGAGUAGCAGAAUUGUUGGGCUUUUGGCCGAUGUGCUGCUAAGAUCAGGCACUGGUGCUCUGUUUUCUCGAAUGCAGAUGACUAAGAGACAACAGCCCGGUGACAGCAGGAACUUCCCAGACGGCGAGGAGAGGUCUUUUGCACCUGACACGGAGUGGCAUCUGCAGAUAAGUCGAUGGCUGUGACCCACAGAGGGGCUGAUAGUGGGGUGCUGGGUUGGGACUCACAGGGAGGGAUUUUUGAGUCUGCUUUGGAGUUGGGGAUGUCCAAGUGGCCCCUUAGGCCACAGAAAAGCCAAGUGUCACUUUUGAUCCCAGUGCUGAGGUGCGCAGGGCAGAGCAGUCCUGGAGUGUAUUGUGUCAGUUGUCUAUUGUGCGUUCUGUGUGUUUGGCUUUCUCAUGUCUUUUACCUUAGCCCUUUGAGGGGCCUAUCAGAAACCCUGGCAUCAUUUUUAGCAUCUGUGAUCUCUGCAUUUCUUGGCCUGGCACCAAUGCCACAGGACUUUUCCCUCAGGAGCUCAGACAGGCAUCAGAAUUGCACCUCUCUUUAGGAGCAUCCAGUCAGAUGUCUUUGCAGGUCUUUUUCUGAGCUGUAUGGACAGCUUUGCCUUGUAAGGAUCCAUUAUUGGGGAUUAGGACUUGUAAGAAUGUGAGGAUAGGUAGAGGAUUCUGACCAUAGGAUUCACAGGCAUCCAUCUUUGCAGUUCUUAAAAGAAAUCAUUCAGUUAGCAUCUUUUUUCCUCCAGGGUUCUCUGAGCCUCAUCAGCUCGCCAUCAGUCUCAUCUCGGUCAUCUAAUCUUGCGUUCUCUCAGUCCUUGCAGUCAUUCUUCUUGCCAAGAGAUUCCUGUCCCUGUUGUUUCCCCCUUGUUUGUCAUGUCCUGUCCUGUGUCACGGGUGUCGGCACAUAUUUUUGCCGGAGCUGCUCUGCCCUGCUGCAUAGUCUGGUGUAAUAGGACAAAUCCUGGGGGCUUGAAAUUUGUAGUGUGGGGUGUAGUUGGAUUAUAGAUGGGAUUUGUAGAUGGACACACGGUGCCUGGAGCAGUGAAAAUAUCCUGCAGCCCUUUGACAUUUGUCCUCACUUUCUUUUAGAUGCAGACGGACAAAAUCCAUGGCAGAGCACCCCAUCCCGGCUGAGGGGGUUCCUCCGAGCAGGUCAGUCACCGUUUGUCUCUGCAGGGGAAGUGUAAAUGGUGACUCUUACAGCACUGUUCUUUAGUUUUGUUUUUAGGAAGUACAGCUGGAUAUCAGCAGUCAAGGUGAGCGGUGACCAGUGGACAGAAGCAGUUGUUAUUGCUGGGAUCUCAGGUUCGGGUGCAACUCUAAGCCUUCACUCUUGUUUGUGUGCUUUAGGUAAUCCAUUUGGAGUAGGCAGAGUCCCCCCUCCCCAACUGGCUGAUGGAUCAGGUUUGCUGCUCUUGCGAGCCCUGUGGAGGUAUUGCAGGACUCUGCGAUGAAGCCCUGAACAUUUCUUUUAAAGGUGCCAUCCGGCUGGCCUUUGUCAGCUGCCGAGGAGUUGCGGCACACCCUGGCACAAUGGCAUUGGCCUCCAAGCGUUGCUGAAGUUAAUGGCAUUAGGAGAUGCAGCCCAGUGACAGCGGGAACUUCCCAGACAGCAAGGUGGCCUUCUUUUGCACCUGAUGCAGAUUGGCAUCCCCAGAUGUCUGAGAGAUAAGUUGAGGGCUACGACUUGCCGAGGGGGUGAAUGUGGGGUGCUGGGUUGGGACUCACCGGGAGGGGUUUUUGAGUCAGCUUUGGGGCUGAGGCUAUCCAAGAAGUGUCCCCUUAGGCCACAUAAAGGGAAAGUGUCACUUUUGAUCCUAGUGCUGAGGUGCGCAGGGUAGAGCAGUCCCAGUGUGUAUCCUGUCACUUGUCUAACGUGCCUGGUGUUGUUUAUAUGUCUCAUGUCAUGCAUCUUCUACCUUAGCCUCUACCUUAGCCCUUUGAGGGGCCCAUCAGAAACCCUGGCAUCAUUCUUAGCAUCUGUGAUCUCUGCAUUUCUUGGCCUGGCAUCAAUGCCAUAGGACUUUUGGCUGAGGAGCUCAGACAGGCAUCAGAAUUGCAUUUCUCUUUAGGAGCAUCCAGUCAGAUGUCUUUGCAGGUCUUGUUCUGAGCUGUACGUACUGCUGUGCAUUGCAAGGAUCCAUUAUGGCAGAUUAGGGCUUGUAAGAAUGCAAAGAUAGGUAGAGGAUUCUGACCGUAGGAUUCUCAGACAUCCAUCUUUGCAGUUCUUUGACGAAAUCAUUCUCUUAGGAGAUACUUCCUACUUCCUCCAUGGUUGUCUGAGCCUCAUCAGCUCACUGUCAAUCUCACAUCAGUCAUUUAAUUUUCCAUUCUCUGUCCUUGCAGUCAUUCUUCUUGUCAAGAGAUACUAGUCCCUGUUGUGUCCUCAUUGUUUGUCCUGUCCUGUGUCACGGGUGUGUGCACACGUUUGUGCUGGAGCUGCUCUGCCCUGCUGCGUAGCCUGGUGUAAUAGGGCACAUCCUGGGGGCUUGAAAUUUGUAAUGUGGGGUGUAGUUGGAUUGUAGAUGGUAUUCCUAGGUUGACCCUAGGAAGCUGUCUGGAGCUGUGAAGUUAUCCUGCAGCCCUUUGAACUUUGUCCUGAUUCUGUUUCAGAUGCAGACGGAUAAAAUCCAUGGCAGAGCUCCCUAUCCCAGGAAGUAAAGCCAUCUAGCAGCAGUCAAGGCAAAGUGGUCAAGGCCGUCUACUUUCAAUCCAUGCUGGCUGAGGAUGCCUGAUAUCAGGUACCUUCCAGGCAGACUGUGGAGUCAAAUCAAGAUUUGAGGUACCGCAAGGAGCUUCGUAGCCAAAGUUUGGAGAGAGCACCACCGAAGCACACGAGACCGUCUCAAUGUCCACGACCCACUGGGGAUAGAUUUUGUCAGCUCAUCUUCCAAAAGCUAAGUGUUGGGGUCCAUAGUUGGGAGAAGGGGAAAAACCUUUCCUAUCACAGGAGGCCAUGUGAUGUUAGCUUAGCGGAGCAAUCUGUAGCGGAACAGGUCCCUCGGAUGUAAAGGGAGAGGGUUUCUCCUCGGCCUCACCAGAGCCUUUGCCGGGCAGGGCAGUUCCGACCCAUCUCCGCGUUCUCGCGAACUUUGCGUCGUCAGCCUCCUUUGACCCUCGACGUCGUCGUGGAUCUUUCUCCCGAGGAGCUCGCCUUCAGGUCCGGAGCUAUAGCCACCAUCACCCGGCAGUCUUUGCUUCCUUCUCUAGGCCCACCGAGCCUCUCGAGCAUCCUCUUAACUGCUUUGGCACUAACUUCUUUUAAGGAGUUGCAUUUCAUCGUCACACGCUAUUGCCAUAGGACUCGCUUUACUUUGGCAUCUUUGGCCUCUGGCUCAUCUUGCGCUAGGAAUCUUGAGUCCAUAAGGUGAAACUGCUAGGCAGUUUCCACCUGUGUCUGUGUUAUGUCACCUGUGUCUGUGUUACGUUGUCUACGUUACGGUGUCUGCGUUACGUAGUCUGUGUCCAUCGUCUUCCGUGUCGUAGGCCUUUGUUACAUCUCGACGCCAUGUCGGCAUCAUUCCGUGCCGUAUCGGCCAUAUUUUACUCGCGUUCCUUCCCGGACAUUGCUUAUUCUGCCAUCUCUCUUUUGAACACAAAGAAGUACACAAGAUGUUCUCAUCAGUCUUCCGUCUCAGCUGUGGUAGUGCCUUUUUCUUCCUGUGCUAUUCUCUUGGGCUUCUAUAGGGAGUGUCUUACACCCUCCUCAUGUGACUGCCAUAGUUCUGUAGGUUCCAUCUUCUCAAAGGGUACGGUGCUCAAGAAUUAAUCUUCCAGAGAGUUAUCCGAAGUCCUGGUUUACAUUGUAUGUGCUUAUGUUGUAUGUACCUAUGUUGGCUUAUAUUGUAUGUACUUGUAUGGUAUGUAAUUCUGUUGGCUUAUAUUGUAUGUACUUGUAUGGUAUGUAAUUCUGUUGGCUUAUAUUGUAUGUACUUGUAUGGUAUGUAAUUCUGUUGGCUUAUAUUGUAUGUACUUGUAUGGUAUGUAAUUCUGUUGGCUUAUAUUGUGCGUACUUGUAUGGUAUGUAAUUCUGUUGGCUCAUAUUGUGCGUACUUAUAUUGCACCACUUACGGUCGGAGCUGCCCUGCCCUGGCAUGUAGUCACAGUUAGGUAGAACAGUUAUAAAAACUUUACCAUUCAUCUAUCUUCUAUGGGAUUUUGGGUAGAAAACUUAGGGGCCCGGAGCAGGGACAAGUCCUAGCCGUCAGAUAGCCACUCCUUGACCACCUCCCAUUGUCUCACAGGUCCCCGAGGCGACCGAUUUUCCCGGAAUCUACUAUUUGAGGUCAAGGAGCAGCAGCCGGAUCACGCGUCGAAGCACGUUGUUCAGGGUUUCAAGUAGGGCUGCAGCGAGCGUGUAAGUCGAAGAGCGUGCGAGUCUGCGUGAGUGCGAGCGACCGUCUGUGUCCGCUUGUCUCUGCGUGUGUGAGUGUAUGCUGACCAGAUCUAACCUUGUGUGUAUGACUUUUUCCUUUCAGGUUU